rnacentral:tRNA from 1 species
UGCCGGGAUAGCUCAGUUGGUAGAGCAGGGGACUGAAAAUCCUCG